CCUACGGGAGGCAGCAGUGAGGAAUAUUGGUCAAUGGACGAGAGUCUGAACCAGCCAAGUAGCGUGAAGGAUGACUGCCCUAUGGGUUGUAAACAUCUUUUAUAUGGGAAUAAAACGUUCCACGUGUGGGAUUUUGUAUGUACCAUAUGAAUAAGGAUCGGCUAACUCCGUGCCAGCAGCCGCGGUAAUACGGAGGAUCCGAGCGUUAUCCGGAUUUAUUGGGUUUAAAGGGAGCGUAGGUGGAUUGUUAAGUCAGUUGUGAAAGUUUGCGGCUCAACCGUAAAAUUGCAGUUGAAACUGGCAGUCUUGAGUACAGUAGAGGUGGGCGGAAUUCGUGGUGUAGCGGUGAAAUGCUUAGAUAUCACGAAGAACUCCGAUUGCGAAGGCAGUUCACUGGACUGCAACUGACACUGAGGCUCGAAAGUGUGGGUAUCAAACAGGAUUAGAUACCCCUGUAGUC
rnacentral:rRNA from 1 species